rnacentral:misc_RNA from 1 species
UGCCUAACCUUUGUUGCUCUCCCAGAGACAAUUCCUCACCCCAAUUUACCUCCUGCUCAGGUGGAUAACGAUCUAAUAGAUACUCAAGAUCAACAUUUUUCAAGAGCUCCACCAUUCCACUCCGUGUGAGAGGUUCAACCUCCUGGUCCACAGUAAGAGGAUAAAUUAACUGAUCACGAAGUGUGCCUACAGCUGUAUAUGGCCUUUGCGGC